CCUACGGGAGGCAGCAGUAGGGAAUAUUGCUCAAUGGGGGAAACCCUGAAGCAGCAACGCCGCGUGGAGGAUGAAGGUUUUCGGAUUGUAAACUCCUUUUGUUAGAGAAGAUAAUGACGGUAUCUAACGAAUAAGCACCGGCUAACUCCGUGCCAGCAGCCGCGGUAAUACGGAGGGUGCAAGCGUUACUCGGAAUCACUGGGCGUAAAGCGCGCGUAGGCGGGUUAGCAAGUCAGAUGUGAAAGCCUAUGGCUUAACCAUAGAACUGCAUUUGAAACUGUUAUUCUAGAGUAUGGGAGAGGUAGGUGGAAUGCUUGGUGUAGGGGUAAAAUCCGUAGAGAUCAAGAGGAAUACUCAUUGCGAAGGCGACCUGCUAGAACAUAACUGACGCUGAUGCGCGAAAGCGUGGGGAGCAAACAGGAUUAGAUACCCCAGUAGUC
rnacentral:rRNA from 1 species